rnacentral:lncRNA from 1 species
UGAUGCUUAAAACGGUUUUAGCAUCUUGCUGAUAAGCCUGUUUGAUAUACUCAUGGAAUAGAAUUGUAAUGUACGCUGAAUGAAGGAAAAACUAACAAGAGAAUUUCUUCUUAAUCUGGACCAAUACCUUCACGGCUUUACAUCCUUUCUUUUUGGUCCUUGCAUUUUAAGCUUUAAAUUUUGUUGGAAAGUAGCUAAUUUUAUAAGCAAAACAUUUGCAGGUGCGGGUACUUGAAAUGGCCCUUGUGAACAGAUGGUCUAGGAAAGGGAUAAAACCAAUAAGUCACAAGCUUCUUCCUGAUUGCCGGCAAUGUGUAAAGAACGAACUACUUUAGUCUUUAGGAAAUUUUUAUUUUCUUUUUUUGGGGAAGGGAGAAAAUAUAUACUAUCUAUUAUACAGAGUAGUCCAUGUUUGAUAUUUUGGCUGUGCAUAGGAGUACCAACAACAGCAACAUGAUUCAAAAGCCUGCCUUUGGAAUCUGCAAGAAGGGAAAGUGCAUAUUUAGGCAUUUGUUUUAAGUGCAUAUUUAGGCAUUUGUUCGACUGAUCAUAUCCUAACAAAGUGUACAAGAAUAUUCUGAAGUGCAUAUUUAGGCAUUUGUUUGACUGAAUCAUAUCCUAGCAAAGUGUACAAAGAAUCUUACUCCUACCCCUUGGCUUCUGGUGCUGGAAUGUGAAGAUAAAUUUGAUAUUAGCCAAAUGGGAUUGUCUUUUCCACUUUUUUACCUGGUGUUCGGUAUCUAAUUGGGUACCAACUAAUGAAAUUGUUGAGAAACAUGAUAUCAACGUUUAUUUAUUCAACUUCAUUGUUGACUCAAAACGAAUCAGCUAUGGUACUAAAGGGAGAAUGCAUAAUUAACCCCUCCUUACCAUGUCUUCUUUUGCAAUUACACACCUAAUUAUCAUCUUAUUUGCUGAUAUGGCACAGAAAGUCUUGUAACUCAACUUGAGUUGUUGUGAAGAGUAAAAUACAAGACAAAAGAUACAACUUAGGGCUAGAAAAUAUCAUAUUUUCAACCAAACAUGUCUCAUUUCUCCAACCCCAUCUAACACGCUCCCUACUUCGUUUUAUGGUGCAUUUAAGUUUAAUCCGACUACUAUAAUUUUGGAUUUCUGUUAAAGGGUUCAAAAAAGAAAAGUUUUGAAAAAUAAAAAAGACUAUGGCCAAAGGGAAUUGAACCAGCAACCUAACAAAGGUUUUGAAACCCCUUGACCACUAAGCUCUACUUUUAGGAUGUGUUAAAGUGAUUCAAAAUAUAAUAUAUACAAGUACAAAAUGAAUUUUGACUUACAUGUACAAUGUUUUCGCCCCCUAAAUCCGGAACAUAAACUCAUGUUCUCACGAUCAAACUAAGUAUUUUGUAUACAUAUUUUCUAAAACUAAUCUAAACUUGGUUGAAUGGUGCACUUGGUUAAAGAUUAAGUUAUUUAUCUAAAAGAAUAGGGAUUGAUUCUCACUUACCCCAUUUUUUCACUCUUCCUUUUUAGUGAUGCACAUGUUUUGAAAAUUCUAAAUACGCCCCAGCUUCCAUGGCAAGCAAUGGCAUUAUAUAUCUUCUUUUUUUUGUCUAUCCGUAACUUGUGAUUUUUUGUGCAAUGAUUGAAACUGGAAAGGAUCUGCAAUGAUAUUUUCUUUUUCUUUUGGUCUUUCAUCUGUAAUUUAAUUUUUUUCACCAAACAGGGACACAUGUAUCAAAUUGACAUAAAUGUUCAGAGAAGACUAGUUAGACUUCUAUAAUAAUGAUACCCCAAGU